GCGUCCUACAACGACACCGUUUUGACCUCUUCUAUUUUUUUCUUCGUUAAUCAUACGCACUAGAUUUUAACCCGCGGUACACCGCGGAGACAAUUCAUUUUUUAAAAUUAAUAUAUAUAUAAAACUUUGUAAAUUAUAUCUAAUUAUA
rnacentral:sRNA from 1 species